UUCGAAACUGGCAGGCUUGAGUCUUGUAGAGGGGGGUAGAAUUCCAGGUGUAGCGGUGAAAUGCGUAGAGAUCUGGAGGAAUACCGGUGGCGAAGGCGGCCCCCUGGACAAAGACUGACGCUCAGGUGCGAAAGCGUGGGGAGCAAACAGGAUUAGAUACCCUGGUAGUCCACGCCGUAAACGAUGUCUACUUGGAGGUUGUGCCCUUGAGGCGUGGCUUCCGGAGCUAACGCGUUAAGUAGACCGCCUGGGGAGUACGGCCGCAAGGUUAAAACUCAAAUGAAUUGACGGGGGCCCGCACAAGCGGUGGAGCAUGUGGUUUAAUUCGAUGCAACGCGAAGAACCUUACCUGGUCUUGACAUCCACAGAACUUUC
rnacentral:rRNA from 1 species